UACGGAGGGGCUAGCGUUUGUUCGGAAUUACUGGGCGUAAAGCGCACGUAGGCGGCUUGUAAGUUAGAGGUGAAAGCCCAGAGCUCAACUCUGAAACUGCCUUUAAGACGUGCAUCGCUUGAAUUGUGGAGAGGUAAGUGGAAUUCCGAGUGUAGAGGUGAAAUUCGUAGAUGAUUCGGAAGGAACACCAGUGGCGAAGGCGACUUACUGG
rnacentral:rRNA from 1 species